rnacentral:misc_RNA from 1 species
UGUCUGCCCUUGGGCUCCCUGCUYUGCGCAGCGAACCAUGUGCACACGCUCCUCUUCAUUAAUGUCCGAGGAAGCUCAUCGCUCCCUCGGCGCCUAGACGGUUCCCGUGUUGCGUACCCAGUAAAUAAAGAGGAAUAUACUAUCGUAAGCGGAAUUGUUUUGCUCCAAACCGACCUAUGUCGGCACGGAGCAACUCGACCGUGGGUCUUGUGAAGCCAGCCCCCAACGGCCUCGUUGGGCGCUUGGUUAACGAUUCUCCAUGUGCUCUGGGAUGUGGUGAACGUGGUUGAGGCCGGGUUUUCCAACUCGGCCAAAGCAUUAUUUGCCGGUUAAGAUUGACAGCCGUGCCCACGCCGUCGUUCCCUGGCUAGUCUGGCGGAAUGGCGGGGUGGCGYCGGUGUCGCAAAGGAAUGCUAC